AACCCAUGAUGAAGGAACCUUCUCAAUAAAUCCUUAUACCUCUCCAAUGCAUCAUAUAAGGUCUCUAAAUCCAUUUGCACGAAAGAAGAGAUAUCAUUCCUUGGCU
rnacentral:snoRNA from 1 species